rnacentral:rRNA from 1 species
AGAGUUUGAUCCUGGCUCAGAUUGAACGCUGGCGACGUGCUUAACACAUGCAAGUCGUGCGAGAAAGUAGACUUCGGUCUAUGAGUAGAGCGGCGCACGGGUGAGUAACGCGUGGAUGAUCUACCCUUGAGUUCGGGAUAACGGUGCGAAAGCGCCGCUAAUACCGUAUAACAAUCCAUUUCAUCGUGGGUUCAAAGCAGGCCUCUUCGUGAAAGCUUGCGCUUGGGGAUGAGUCCGCGUCCCAUUAGCUUGUUGGCGGGGUAACGGCCCACCAAGGCUACGAUGGGUAGCUGGUCUGAGAGGAUGAUCAGCCACACUGGAACUGAAACACGGUCCAGACUCCUACGGGAGGCAGCAGUGGGGAAUAUUGCGCAAUGGGGGAAACCCUGACGCAGCGACGUCGUGUGAGGGAAGAAGGCCUUCGGGUCGUAAACCUCUGUCAGAAGGGAAGAACAUCCGGG